GCCAGUGUGAUUGUAGUGGUUUGAGACUUAGUCUAUGACUCUGGAGACCAGGGUUCGAAUCCUGGCUUGGCA